ensembl:lncRNA
AUUCCGAUUGGAUCCGAUUGGUUCCGAUUGGAUCCGAUUGGUUCCGAGGGGUUCUGAGGGGCUUAAGGGGCUCCGAAUGGUUCCGAUUGGUUCCGAUUGGUUCCGAUUGGAUCCGAGUGGUUCCGAGUGGUUCCGAUUGGUUCCGAGGGGUUCUGAGGGGCUCAGGGGGCUCCGAGGGGCUCCGAAUGGUUCCGAAGGGUUCCGAUUGGUUCCGAAUGGCUCCGAUUGGCUGGUUCCGAGCGGUUCCGAUUGGUUCCGAACGGUUCCGAGUGGUUCCGAUUGGUUCCGAGGGGUUCCGAGUGGUUCCGAGGGGUUCUGAGGGGCUUAAGGGGCUCCGAAUGGUUCCGAUUGGUUCCGAAUGGUUCCGAUUGGUUCCGAGGGGCUCAGAGAGAAGUUCCGACUGGUUCCGAACGGUUCUGAGCGGUUCCGAUUGGAUCCGAAGGGUUCCGAGGGGCUCCGGACUGUUCGUAGAGGGGAUUCCGAUUGGUUCCGAUUGGUUCCGAUUGGUUCCGAUUGGUUCCGAUGGGUUCCGAAGGGUUCCGAGAGAAGUUCCGAGUGGUUCCGAACGGUUCCGAACGGUUCCGAGUGGUUCCGAACGGUUCCGAACGGUUCCGAGUGGGUCUGAAUGGGUCCAAGCGGGGCCGGGAGGUUCUGAGCGGUUCCGGGGCCGUUCUGAGGGGGUUCUAUUGGGUUCUAUUGGGUUCUAUUGGGUUCUAUUGGGUUCUACUGGGUUCUCAGCGGUUCCGAGCGCGGUCCAGUCGGUCCCGGUCCCGUUUUGGGCCGGUUCUGUUGGUCCCAGUCCCGUUUCGGGUGGGUCCGGUCAGUCCCGGUCCCGUUUUAUGUCGGUUCUGUUGGUCCCGGUCCCGUUUUGGGUCGGUCCAGUCGGUUUUGGUUCCGUUUUGGGCCGGUUCUUUUGGUCCCGGUUCCAUUUUGGGUCGGUCCAGUCGGUUCCGGUUCCGUUUUAUGUCGGUUCUGUUGGUCCCGGUCCCGUUUUGGGUCGGUCCGGUCGGUUCUGGUCCCGUUUUGGGCCGGUUCUGUUGGUCCUGGUUCCGUUUCGGGUGGGUCCGGUCAGUCCCGGUUCCAUUUUGGGUCGGUUCUGUUGGUCCCGGUUCCGUUUCGGGUGGGUCCGGUCGGUUCUGGUUCCGUUUUGGGCCGGUUCUUUUGGUCCCGGUACCGUUUUAUGUCGGUUCUGUUGGUCCCGGUCCCAUUUUGGGUUGGUCCGGUCGGUUCUGGUCCCGUUUCGGGUCGGUCCGGUCUCGGUUCCGGUCUCGGUUCCGGUCUCGGUUCCGGUCCCGCCCUGUUGUGAUGCCGCCGUGAUUCAUCCUUUCCCUGCGGCGCCGCCUGGAAACACCCACAGAACCGGAACCAGAACCGGAACCAGAACCGGAACCGGGACCAGAACCGGAACCGGGACCAGAACCGGGACCAGAACCAGGACUGGGACCAGAACCAGAACCGGGACCAGGACUGACAAUGGGCCCAACAAUGGAGACACAGUGGGACCAGAACCGACAGCAGAACCGGUACCGGAACCUGGACUGACACCGGUACCAAUAUGGACCCUGGGACCGAUACCGGGACCAACAGCAGAACCAGAACCGAUACCGGUACCAGCACCAGACUGGUACCACCAUUAA